GCCUGGUUACCUUCCUACAAUGCAAUGAAAGGAUGAUGGAUUAAUCAGAUAUUUAUUUGUAUUUUUUGACUCACUGAUUUCGAGGACAUCCUGAUAUUGGUAUUCAAAGUAAACAGGCAUCAGGUAUCAUUUAUUUUUACUAGUCUUUGUAGAUUUGCCUUGGUGGAGUCAACUAUUUAUUUGUGAUCGAUAGUUUUGUUUUCAAAUUUUUCCACCUUUAAAUUAAAUUAAUUAACAAUGAGUCGGAUACGGAAGUUUUUUCUCAUGCUUUUUCUGAGGAAACAGAAAAAGUCGUUCACCAAAAAGAUGAAAGAAAAGGUGACACCAUCUGACUGAUAAAUGGUUUGAGUGAUCAAGGAAACACUUAUAUUUUGACUACACUUUGAUUAUCACUUGCUAUCCUUCAAUGUAAAGUCUUUGGAUUAAUUCUUAUUAAUAAAGAAGGUUUAUAUUUGAAUUUUGA